GACGAACGCUGGCGGCGUGCUUAACACAUGCAAGUCGAACGGAAAGGCCCUGCUUGCAGGGUACUCGCGUGGCCAACGGGUGAGUAACACGUGGGUGAUCUGCCCUGCACUUCGGGAUAAGCCUGUGAAACUGGGUCUAAUACCGGAUAGGAGCCAUUUUUAGUGUGAUGGUUGGAAAGUUUUUUCGGUGUGGGAUGAGCUCGCGGCCUAUCAGCUUGUUGGUGCGGUAAUGGCCUACCAAGGCGGCGACGGGUAGCCGGCCUGAGAGGGUGGACGGCGACAUUGAGACUGAGAGACGGCCCAGACUGCUACGGGAGGCAGCAGUGGGGAAGAUUGCACAAUGAGCGCAAGCCUGAUGCAGCGACGCCGCGUGGGGGAUGACGGCCUUAGGGUUGUAGAAUAAUUGCGCUAGGGACGAAGCAUGUUGUGACGGUACCUAGAUAAGAAGCACCGGCUAACUACGUG
rnacentral:rRNA from 1 species